CCCUGUACAACCGCGCAAGAUCCGUUUACUGAUACGUAUUUAUACGCGAUGUACAAUUGAACGAUAUCUUCAACAAUAACUGCAGCAAUAAUUUGGAUAACUGAUUUCCUGUAUAUUCUAGCUGAGGGUAAAUUCCCACUCAUGUUCAUUUAGCAGUAUGACUGAGAAAUAACGGUCCAGUUAAUUUGGAUAAAAUGCUCAAUAUCAAGCAGUCAGUCAGGUGGAGAUACCAUUAUGCAAUGACUAUACACACUCCGACUCGGUCGCUAGUAUCAGUUAGCAUUUUAGAAUGCAGGAUAGAAAUACUGUACGAAUUCGCAUUUACAAGCUAUAUAUCUGUCGUCCCUAGCUGAAUCAAUAUCAUUUUCGAUCUUCAAUUACCUUCGGUGCAAAAUCCCACCAUGCCAGAUUCUGAAUUUCCCACAGAAAUUUAACAUGCUGAGCCAUAUUUUUAAUUAGACUAAUCAUGAAUCCAUGCAUGGGACUAUAUAUGCAUGAGAUCGGGAACGUCUAUUUCAACAGUGGUUCUUCUAAAGUCUUCCCGCGGUAGUACAGAUAUCAGUAGGACCAAAAGGAGGGAUGAUGACUCUGUCAAUGGUGUACCUAGGACGAAUUUAUCAAUUUAAAAUAAUCAGGCAAUAUCCUGAAGGUAUGGUUGAAAUUAUGGCAAGCAAUAGUUGUGGUAAGAUUAGUUUAUUGUUUGGACUAUAUAUUAAACGGUUUGAUUUGUGAGUUGUAAAAAGGAUACCCAUUUGUAUUGCCGUAUGCACCACAACAAUGCUGUGUUUUGGAUAUUAUUGUAUCGAUUUAAAGCUGCUGAAGAAUAGACUCUUUCCCCAAACUAUAUGAUUAAGACACAAAGACUUACAAAGUAUUUUAGUUUAGACGGGUUUUAGGAGUUUCUUCGUGCAAUAAAUGAUCAAAAAUCGUUGCAAGUAUAAAUGAUUUUAAAACGUCGAAAUAUAUCGAUGAUGUGGCGGCCGCCUGAACUUAAUCUGUAUCGCUAUGAACCGUGACGAACAGCGAAAUAAAUGUUUCAGUUAAGUUAUGUACCGAGAGAUAUACGUAUCAAUAUUGAGACGGGUUUCCACAGUUCCACUAGGCGGAAUUUGAAGGUGGGGCUAAAAUGUGUUCGUGAUACUACUAAAGUCACCAGAUAGGAUGUUCUCGUACAUGGGUGGAGGGUGACUCAAGUCUUCUUGUUAAGAAAGGAGUUCGCUGUAAGUGAAGAAGGAAUACAUUGAUCCAUAAUGCGAUCGAAGAAAAUAUAUUUCAAGGGCAUCACAGUCUUAGAAGAAUAUGUAUAGGCUACAGAGAAAAAAACUAAAUUUAACGAGUAGGUUGCAAUGGCGUUACUAUUACGGGCUCAGGCUGGACUGGACUGGACUGAGUCUCCUGGCCUAAGGCAGCCGCCUGAUUAGACUGGAUUUACUAGAAUCAGCCAAUCAGGUUCAGUAUUUAAGGUUAUUAGGGGCCUCCAGACUUGGUGUUACGCCACUGAUUGCCGGCCGUAUCGAUAAUAAUAACUUUUAUAUCAAAUAUUACUCUCUUUUUUUUUUAAUAUUCAUACUGAUGUAUAUACUGUGACGGCAAGACGCGACUAAAUUUGAAUAUAUUCAUGCUAAACCUUUAAGCAGAAAUCCGAUUAUUAAUGUCAUCAAAUUCGGAACAGCAAAAUGUGACUCAGCAUUAAAAAAACUCGCCGGCCUCACGCAAAUAAGUACUUAUCAGCUCAAUAUAUAGCUGCAUGAAUUAAUUAUUAAAUAUACAUGCAUUCGGGGGUGAUCAUUUCAGUUGAAAGCUUUCAAUACUUUGAAAACCAUAGCAUAUAGCUUUAGCAUAUAGCUAUUUAAGGCGCAAUGAAAAUCCGUAGUUUCGUGGAUAUAGCAGAUAUAUUAAACAUAUUCUCGCGAUUAAUUAAAUUUUUAUUGCCUUUAAAAUUAAAGUUUAAUAUAUUUGUAUAUGAGUUUAAGCUGCAAAGCUAUAUCAAUAUAGCCUCUAAUUGCCUUCAUACAAAAUUCAUAAAUUUUCCGUAUUUGUUUGAUCAUAAGUAUAUCCCAGCUGAUGGCUUUCCCACCGCAGGAACGGCUUGGCUUCAAAACGUUGAUUUAAUUUCACUUAUUGAUACUUAUCUUUGUUCUCCGUGAUCGAUAUUUCCAAAGAGGACUGAAAUUAUCACCUUUUCAUUCAUACUUUGAUACUCAAGAAAUUAUUCCAUUCUCUUCAGUGACGGUUGCUGAAAAACUAAAUUCAGUUAGUGUUGCGUGUUAACGGUGAAUUUCGAAAGUAGAUUUCUCAGUAUCAAUUUAUCGCACCUCCCGCGAAAAGUAAUUUUUCACUAGAUUCUUUAAUAAGCUACAGCGUAUGUUCUGAUUACGUCAUCUGUGUGAUCUUUCCUAUUUCUUUCAAUGGCUGAAUGUGGAUACAAAUAUUUCAACUCCUUGACUUCUGUCAUAGAAAACAAAAAUUUGAGAAUUAAUCAGUUAUUCGAUCAUCAUUUGGUAUGCUCUAGUAUACUUUAACUCCGUUUCAUAUUUCUACCUGCAUGUGUGCAUCUUAGGAAUAAUAUGACUGUCAGUAGCGUAUUUCGUGAAUGAAUUACUGAACUCCUCGUUAUUUCACUAUCGUCCCGUACAGUUUCAUAUAAAAUACUGUAAUUGUACUGUAAUUAUACUCUAAUUUUGUGUUUGACAAUGCCAUUGCUUCGCUAGUGAGUUCUUUUAACUCGCGCUCAUUCCUGCUGGUUUUAUAUGAGCUGGCAACAUGCUUCACAUUCAAAAACCACUGUUUCACGAAGCUAGUUUAAAGCUACUGUGGUUUCUGCAUAAUAUACGAAGUGAAAAUCGUACUUUUUCCCCGGAAAUUUACGUAUGAAAUCAAGCCUUCAAUAUAAAAUAGAGAAGAACACUAGAACACCACAUUCAUUAAAAGUGUGUUAUCUAUUCACUUGGAAUCAAUUUUCUUUGUUCUUGCAAUUAAAUACGGUUAUAUACAACAUCUGAACAUCAUGCAGAUUUCAGAAUGUAUCAUAAACUUCCGUCCAAAACACAAACUAUCACAUAUGUGAAAUUCUCACGCUCGUUGACUCAGGUCAGCUGUGUUACUUUGUGUAAGCACACUACUUGUGAACCAAACAACAAUGUUUACAUUGAAUAGCGAUUUCUCUAAUUUUGAUAACUUCCCGGGCAAUAUACAAAUUAAAAGAAAAAGACAUGAACGUGAAACUAAAGCUGGGCACAGUUGCGUUUAUAAACGACUCAUUCCAUCUAUAUAUAUAACAGAUCAAUAAAAAUCUAUUUCCGUAUAAUAUGGGGCGAUACCUUCGGUGAUUGGGUACUUGGCACAUCAAUGAGGGCCCCCAAAUGUCAACGAUAGCCCUGAAUGACGCGGUCUGCAAAUCAGAACACCCCACGUACAAGAAACGUAAAACUGGCAGAAUACACACAGGGUUUAUCUGAAUAUUCCAUGAGAUUAAUUUGGUAUAUCUAGAAUGGCAUCCCAGUGAUCCUUUAGCCUGGACGCUCUAGAACUUUGGUGCCAAAUGCACUCGAUCGACCUUUGUACCUGACACAUAGCUGAAAGAAGUUGACUUAACCCCAAUGCCCCGACUUUUUAAGAUGAUUUGUCCCACUUGGAGCACUUGGAUACGUUAUCGGUUUCGUUGAAUAGGAUUUUGGGUAACGUUGGAUGACGAUGAAUUCGGGUUUUACAUGCGGACAAUUCUUUGGAAUAUCGCAACUAGACGUUUUAGAAAUUUGGAGAUCUGAUAAUCAUAUCUGCAUGACCUUGUCCUGUCAUUUCGAUUUUUCUAUCCCAUCAAGCAGAAGUUUCAUGACUUCUUGACAAAUCUAGUCAGGUUAGACCUUUUGCGUUUGUUGAAGUUUUUAUUCCAUUAUUCGGCAACGAUUUUGACGUUAAAAACUAUGCAGUGUCGUCGUCGUCAUGCAAUAAAAAGCAAGGUUAUUUUAUUACAUGUAUCUAACCGGUCUCAGUUGCUCCCUUCUCCAGAACACAUUGGCGCAUGCGGGUAAUCAAGGCUGCCCGCAUUCCUUCAUGACUUGCGGAAUUUGGGCCGGGGUAAGUAGCCAACUAAUAUAGUAGAUGUGUAGCCUUCAUGGUGAAAAUUAUUGAUUCAAUCCCCGGCGAAUGGAACAAUCUGAGCUUCAACAUCAGCAAGGGCACGUGUACAUUUUUUAAAAUGCAGAGAGUGGGGGAGGGCUAGAGUUAACUAGACCGAAAACACGAAUACUGACACUUUAUAUAUUAUAUAGCAUUUUAGACUUAUAUGGGAUAAAAAUAUCAUAGAAUAUUUUAAAGCUUUUUCCUCUUAGGACUAAAGUAACCCAGGGAAUUAUAGGUAUCUUGAUGGCUUGGGAAAAUGUUUAUUUUGUAGUCUGUAUUUUGAAACUUGAAUUUUCUAACUAUUCUGAAAGUUUUAUCAUUAUAGUUUAUUUGAAUCAAUUCUGACAAACAAUCAGUGCCGUAAAACAGGCUAAAAAGGAUUAGAAGCCUCCUUUAUUAUACUAUAUAUCCCUUACUACUGUUCCAUGUAAACUCUCGGAAUGUCAGUUGUAUUUCUCAUUAAUGAGCAUCCCCCCCCUCAUAGUGAACCACUCGCAGGCAACUGUCACUGGCCAGUGCCAUAGAUUAGGCAUUUUACUAUUUUUACUAUUAUUCCUAUUAUUUGUGAGGAAAUGAUAGAUAUACCAAAAAACAAAAUGGUAAUAGUUCAUGGUUAAACGUUUAGCAAAACAAAUGUACGAAGGUAGUUGAGAAACACAAUUAACUAAACCGUGUGCGUGACAUUUAAGCUUGCCUGUCGGAAAGAUUAUCCGAAACAUACUAAAAGUAUAUUUGCUUGUUUCUUUUCUGUUUCAUCUUUACUUCUUUUGAGCGCGGUUCAUCAAAAAACAUUUCAAUUUCCGGCCUGUCUUGAGAGGUUGGAAUUUGGUAAGACACAAGUAGCUAGGCCUCAUUUCCUUUAUACACGCGUGUGUUUCGCGAUUUAUUUUUCAAUUUUUAGGUUAGGGACAGCUUAACAUCCAUUUUACAGCCAUUUUCCCUUUAAACUAAAAUGUUCAUUUAUUUAUUGAACAAUAAGAUGCUUAAUUGAAUUAAAAACAUGAUCAGUUGCUCACUAUAAAUUUGGCGUAAAAAAAGGCAGCACAGAUGGAAAGCUGUGAUUUCCAUUCAUGGACCUAGCCAGAUUUUUGUAAACAUAAAUAUAUUCGGUACAUAUACAAUAACGGUCACUGUCCAUGGUCGAUAUUGGGUCGGGUUUAGGAUUUGAAUGUUGUUGUUCUGUAAGAAUCUGGGGUAAAACCUGGAAGAACUAACAAUUGGACAUUUUUAACAGCCAUUAAGCAAUAAACAGUUACGCGAACGAUUAAAUUUACCAUCCAGAAGCAGCUGUUUUUAUUGUUCGAAUGUCUUCGAAUGUCUUCGAAGGGCUAUUUCUGUGAUAAUAGUGCUAAUUGGACGCAUGCGCAGAUCCAUCGUAUGAUUGUGUUCAUUUUCCCUUGGUCUGAUGCGAGCAAACUCGAUUUACGGAAUCACAGCGUGUUUAUUUAUCCAACAAUGAACUUGUUUUGAACCCUUUUACGAUCGUCUCCCCAUUCUACUCGACACUUGAAUAAUUCAUUAAGUCAAAUGGCAAGCACUUUGUCUAAAUGAAGAAGAAGUGAAGAGGACUCUUACGGACUGUUGUUGGGGUAACUGCAUCCUUUCAUUUAUUAAUUUGUUAUUUUGGUUUGUUUCUCCACACGGAGAGUCUAAUUGAAUGAUCCUCGAUGUGAAACGCACGUGUACGAAUGAAUGAACUAAGGUGAAGUACAAUUGGGCGUUUCUCUUGGGGUUUACUAAACAUUAAAAGAAGCUUUGAAAGGAUACAUCAAUGCUAUUGACAUUGCGAAGAGACAAUGCAUCGAACAUAAACCUUAAUUAACUUUAAACUAUUUGCCGUACAAUGCUGCAACGAAUUUCCCUCGCUUGAGCUGGGAAACUGGCUGGAUUUUUGGGGACCCAAUUAUGGAAAUACCUCAAAUUCCAACGCAUUGAAGUGCAAAAAACUGCGUUUUGCUGAGAAAAAUGCGCCGAGUUUGGCAAGAUUUCUUGAGUUCGUCACAUGUUUAAGCUCAUUAUCAUUCAAAAUUUAUUUUAUGUGGCUAGAACAUCUGCUAAGUCUAUUUGAAUUUGCUCAAACAAAGGAAACCUAAUGCCUCGAACGGCGUGGCUGUAUGUGCUCAAUGAAAACCUACCCAUUCAUGCCACGUUGUGUUCCGGGUUACAAGCCUAAGCAACGCAUUUAGGCACACGAGUUUAACUCAGAGAUAAACACCUAUAUAUAAUAUAGACAAUAUAAAAGUUUAUAUACAGCCUAGCAGAACAUUUCAGGAUAAUUUCUUAAGAGGCAAUAUAAUAAUGGCCGUUAGCGUUUUGAGGCGAUUGCAAGCUGUGUAAUUAGAAAACGGUCCAGACAAAAAAGAGCACAUGCUAAAAUUUUCCCAACAUUUAUUCGUGAGAAAACGUGCUUGACAUUUCGCUGCCAAGCACUGCUUUGAAGAACAGUUUCUUUAUGAUCAGUCUUCGAAUAUGCCUUAUAAUUUUGUACUUACUGAAGCAAUUGCAUCUUUGCAAUUUUCCUUUUUAAUAUUUUUUUCAUUGUCAUGCUGAUGUUGCCCUGAAGCUAUUCCAUGCUCGAAAAAAUUACAACGGCCAGGGAUUUAAAAUUUUUCCAAAUAUAAUAAAUGGAUUUGGGGUGGUUCGGUUUUUAAAAGGGUCUCAAAAAAAUUGGAAUUUAAUCUUGCCUUUUGUUACACGCCUUAAGACAAUGGGCAAUAGGCUGACCUUAUAAGUAGGGUUUCCAAGACCUCCUAGCUCGACACUACACGUGGGAUCUGUGCAUAAACUUGGUUUAUUUUGAUCUGUGUACAUGCAACUCUAUUAUAAUGAGAACGCUUUGUGAUAUAUUAAUAGUACACAAACAUCGCUAAUAUUACUCGUGUUUUUAUCACAAGGAGUGAAUAGGGCGAAACUGAUAGCGAUAUGGACAGUUGUACAAACUUAAUUUACCCAUUAAUUUUUUUUUCUCUUUUUCUCGUGUGUUUUAUUGUGUGCUGGGAAGAGCAAUAUAGCACAGUGACGCCAUAUGGUACACAUACGAUUAUCAAGAGUUAAGUCAGUUAAACUUUAGGACAGGCUGUGGCAGGUGAAACAGUAUGUAGUUGGACAUAACAAGUUUUUCGUUCUACACCUUUGAUUGCAAAUGGCGUCAUUAUCAUGUAAUUUGUGACUUAUUUCCAAAGUGUACAACGUGAAAACAGCCGGGGAUAAGGGAAACGUUCAACAGAAGAAGAAAAGCAAUAACCACAACCUGUUUACAAAAUUGCUUUAAUAAAAAUCUAUCGCCUUCGCUACAAAAUAUCCUCGAGUGUACAUAUUUAAAAUUAUACAUUAGUAUAUAUACUGAUCUAAACAGUGUUUUUAUGAUAUCCUAUGUGAGAAAAAACAUCAUAAUAUCGCUAGAAAGCAUUAAUAUUCAAUUUGAAACGAA
rnacentral:lncRNA from 1 species